rnacentral:rRNA from 1 species
AUCGUCAGCUCAUUUUGUAUAUGUAUGAGUUAUGAUGCGAGUUACUCNUUGUAGUAUUGCUUGCACGUACUUAUACAUUUAUUUGCAAGGUGUUGUCGGCGUGCACUUCUCCCCUAGUAGGACGUCGCGACCCGUUGGGUGUCGGUUUACGACCCGAGUNGGGAGACUUNUAAUAUUUUNAUAAUAUUAAAGACCCUUGGUGUUUUCUGACCGACUGCCCGGCGGUACUCGUACGGUAUUUAGCCGCAUUUANUNUUGCGUCCAUGUCCGUCGCAAGCGCGGCUAAUUUCUGGUAGUACGGACCUAGUGCCGUCGCUGGGAUUGGCCAGCUGUUGGUUGUA